GACGAACGCUGGCGGCGUGCUUAACACAUGCAAGUCGAACGGAAAGGCCCUGCUUUUGUGGGGUGCUCGAGUGGCGAACGGGUGAGUAACACGUGAGUAACCUGCCCUUGACUUUGGGAUAACUUCAGGAAACUGGGGCUAAUACCGGAUAGGAGCUCCUGCUGCAUGGUGGGGGUUGGAAAGUUUCGGCGGUUGGGGAUGGACUCGCGGCUUAUCAGCUUGUUGGUGGGGUAGUGGCUUACCAAGGCUUUGACGGGUAGCCGGCCUGAGAGGGUGACCGGCCACAUUGGGACUGAGAUACGGCCCAGACUCCUACGGGAGGCAACAGUGGGGAACAUUGCGCAAUGGGCGGAAGCCUGAUACAGCAACGCCGCGUGCGGGAUGACGGCCUUCGGGUUGUGAACCGCUUUCGCCGGUGACGAAGCGUGAGUGACGGUAAUGGGUAAAGAAGCACCGGCUAACUACGUG
rnacentral:rRNA from 1 species